UCAGAUGGCCGGAUGGCCGCUGGCAGCCGCAAGGUUGCUGGAGGAAAGUCCGGGCUCCACGGAAGCACGGUGACGGAUAACAUCCGCCGGGGGUAACCCCAGGGAAAGCGCCACAGAAACAUACCGCCAAUCCGCCAAGCCUUUGGGUGACCGCGGACGGUAAGGUUGAAAUGGUGCGGUAAGAGCGCACCGCGCCUCUGGCAACAGGGGUGGCACGGCAAGCCCCACCGGGAGCAAGACCAAAUAGGGACGGCAGGUGAUCUGUUUCCGGAUCGUCGUCCGGGUCGGUCGCGUGAGGCGGUCGGUAACGACCGUCCCAGAGGAAUGGCCAUCCAUCCGCGCAUGCGGGGGACAGAACCCGGCUUACAGGCCAUCUGACGCA
rfam:Alphaproteobacteria bacterium 62-8 SCNpilot_cont_300_bf_scaffold_1401, whole genome shotgun sequence.